CCCAUGAUCAAUCCCUCAUGCAUAAACAUAAAUUUUAGAUCUAAAUUCUAAAUUUCAGAUCUAAAUUAAUUGUAUGAAAUAAUAUGUUAUGAUCUUAAAACUACUUUUUAGAUCUAAACAAACAUUCACAUAUCUCAUACAUGAAUAAAAAUUAGGUCUAACAUAAAAUCUCUUUUCAAAAUCAUCCAACAUCGAUAUAGGACAACCUCUCCCACAUA
rnacentral:lncRNA from 1 species